GAGAUAAACAAGUUGCAGAAUAGGAUUAUGGAGACUGUCAGUUUAGGUGCUUGGAACAAAGGAGUGUUGGGCCAUCUCUAAAUAAAAAUCUUGGUUAAUAGAUUUGACAUUGUCAGAUUAACAUCUUCCAAACAUAGCCCAUUGAGUGUGUGACAUGCAGGGUGCGGUUAAGUUGAAUUUGAUAAGUAGAAUUGGACAGCUUAGUGAGAGAUCAUUUAGGGAAGUUAUUGAUAGCAGACUCUGGCCUGUGUGAACAUUCUACUGCUUGUGAUGCUGAGAUGAUAUAAUUGGAAAUAAUUAAAGACCGGCAGAUGAAUAAGCCAAUUUUGGUGGAGGGGUACUCCAUUAAUGCUAUUAAGUGGUGUACAAGAACAAAGAGUGCCUUGGAAAUUAAGAUCAAUUUUGGUUUGAGAUCAUGAAUAUAUGCAAGAGAUUGACAUUUUCUUCUAAGCACGUUUACAGAGAAGUGAAUGACGAUGCAGAUGAACUAUAGAGAAGCAAGAGGUUGGAAGAGUAGAGAUCUUCAUCAGUGUCUUUUGAAGGUUGCUGUAUUGACUAUUUCUUUCUAUUCCAUACUGUAUUCCUUUACUGAUUAGUAAAU
rnacentral:lncRNA from 1 species